GCAAAGUCUGGGGCCCAUCUCAGGUGGAAACAACACCUUGAAAGAGGACGUAGGGCAAGGUGACGUCACCACCAAACGCUAUGCCACCAUGAGAAGACCCUCCAAAUCAACUCGCAGAGUCACGCAAGGUUCUCCAGCACCUGCACGCAGCUCAUCAGAAAGGUGGGGCUGGGGGAGGCCCCGUGCAGCUUGCAGAGAGGACUGAGGCAUGCUGGUGCAGGAGGGCCAUUUCAUCAUCCACACUCACUGAACACACCGCACUCCCGACCACAGCAGCCCCGUGGGAAUAUGGUGCUGACAGCAGGCGGUCUCUGGCCUCUGGGAGCUCACCAUGGGGUCAAGAAGAAUAAGGCGACAGUCAUCUAGGGCUGAGCGCGAGGCAGAGGGCAAAGAGGAAGACAGAGGAGGGCACUCCGAGCGGAGUGGGCAAGCAGCAGUCUAAUCGGACACGGCCUUCAGGAAGGUGUUAGCAGACAGCGCAAGAGGUGGAUAAAGGGAGCGUGCGCAUUCCAAGGACGGGAAGAGCACAGGCAAACGCCUGGAGGCAAAAGAAAACCGGGAACUGCAGCUUGUUCUGUUCCAGCCUGUGCUUCACCUCAACAGCAGUGGACUCAUGGGUCUGUCCUGGGAUCCGGACACAUUACUGCCUCAAGGAACUUGGGCUCAUCCUGUAAAGUCCAAUCUUGCCAUUUUAAGGGGGAAACUGAAGCGUAGAAACGGACCAUGACCUGCCCAGGGACACAUGCACGCAGGCAGUGGCUCCCGUCCAGGCCCCGCCAGAUGACACCAUCCAGCAGCAUCGUCCCCAGGAACUCCCGCGUGGUAGGAGCAGCCCAUGAAAAGGCAAGACUGGCUACCUGCCUCUUCUGGAAAAGAGGCAGAAGGCACAAACAGCAAUACUCAAGAUCUCUCAUUGGAACAAGCCCCCAGCACGACAGCACAAGACCACCAGAGCAGGAGACCACAGAACCCCUCACUGUUAUCUUGUUCCCCGCAUACCAGCUCUAUGUGUUAUAAAUGUUAAAAUUAUUAACUAGCCUGUACUCACCAAUGUAAAAGAAGUGUUUCUCCAUUUUGCCUUUUAUCCAAUUCUAGAGAUUUCUCCGCUUUGCUUUCUCUGUCCUCCUUAAUCUAUCACCAAUGGAUGUCACGGAACCCUCCUUACAUCUCCUCCUUUGAUUCUAAUGUAUAAAAUAAGCUGUAAAACUGUCAUUCUCUGGAGCAUUUUCUCAAUCUGUUGAGAUUUUGCUUGCCGGAAUAUGUCACCAGUUUGACCCAAAUGCACUUAUAAAAAUCCUCCACAGGUUUGGACUUUUCUUCCAUUGACAUUAUCAUCCUCAUAAUUAUUAAAGGGCUAAAAUAAACUUCAUUGCCAAACUGCUGCAGACAUUUAAACACAGUUAAGCCAUCAUGUUUUUAGGUAGACUGAG